ACACCUACGGGAGGCAGCAGUAGGGAAUAUUGCUCAAUGGGGGAAACCCUGAAGCAGCAACGCCGCGUGGAGGAUGAAGGUUUUAGGAUUGUAAACGCCUUUUGUUAGAGAAGAUUAUGACGGUAUCUAACGAAUAAGCACCGGCUAACUCCGUGCAAGCAGCCGCGGUAAUACGGAGGGUGCAAGAGUUACUCGGAAUCACUGGGCGUAAAGAGUGCGAAGGCGGGGGAAUAAGGCAGAUGGGAAA
rnacentral:rRNA from 1 species